GUGAACACAGAGAUUUCAGAAAAUCUGCUUCAGGAAAGGAAAAAAUAUAAGCUAGCACCAGUUUUCCAACUUAGUUUCGCAUUGAUAAGUUUCUAGAAUUAGAAACAAGGAAAAGAAAUUUUAACUGUAACUUUGUUUCCUUUCUAUGAAUUAGGACCAAUUUUUGAAGCACCUGACUUACUAUAGUUAUCAUUAUCUACUUAAUUAUGAAAUAUUUAGGAAUAUUUCAGACUACAGUUGACCUUUGAGCAACACAGUGGUUAGGUGCACUUACCCCCGUGCAGUCAAAACUCUGUAUAAUUUCUGAUUCUCCCAAAAUUUAAUUACUAAUAGCCUACUGGUGAUGGGAAGCCUUACCAAUAACACAGUCCAUUAACACAUGGUUUGUACAUUACAUGUGUUAUAUAAUAUAUUCUUAAAAUAAAGUAAGCUAGAGAAAAAAAGGUUAUUGAGAAAAACAUAAGAGAAAAUACAGUACAACACAACAGCCAAGAAAGUCCAUGUGUAGGCUAACUAGACCUGCAGCUACAAUUCCAUGUUGGUCAAGGAUCAAAUGUGCAUUACAAAUAUUCCCAUCUAGAAUGCUCUUAUUUCUUAUAAAAGGCAUCCUCUCAUUGAAUUCCCAAAAUAGGGUCUAAAUACGGUACUAAGUGGUGCCUAGGUGGCCCAGUCACUUAAGUGCCUGCCUUCAUUUCCUUAAGGAACAAUCAAAGUAAUAUAAUGAUCUUUUCGCCAAAAGUCUUUUCCUAAAUACUUGCUUCUGUGACCCUGGUUUAUUUCCAGGUGAGAAUUGAGUUAGAUGGUAGAAAUAGCUUGCAAUCCAUUAAUAAAGAGAACAUAUUUGCAAUUUUAUUUAUACUUUUCCAUUUAUCAAAAACAUAAGAGGGUAAGAAAAUUAUACACAUAAAAACAACGUAUCAGCAAAUUUUAAUUCGAAGACUCAUUAAUUAGUAGGAUUUUCUCAUAACAGUUUGUUUCCAAACUACCAAUCAUAGAAAUCUAAGGUUCCAUUGGGGAUACUGUAGGAUUGAGGGACAAAAGUCUACAGCUGUAGACUCAUCUCUCUUUUAGCUACACAGCUCCACUGGUCUCGGUUUUGUAUAAUACAGUUUAAUGCAAAAACAGAAACAAACAAAAAACAAAACAAAACAAAAACAAAUUAAGUUCCAUUCUUUGAAAAAAAUAUUGUUUUCCAAAAGGUAGUCACUAAUUUAGUCAAAGUCCCUAAUUUUUUUAUUUUAAUUUUUAUUUAUUUAUGAUAGUCACAGAGAGAGAGAGACAGAGACACAGGCAGAGGGAGAAGCAGGCUCCAUGCACUGGGAGCCUGAUGUGGGAUUCGAUCCCGGGUCUCCAGGAUCACGCCAUGGGCCAAAGGCAGACGCCAAACCACUGUGCCACCCAGGGAUCCCAAAGUCCCUAAUUUUACAUAAGAGACAAGAAGGCCUCAGAAAGAUUGCAGUUUGCCUCAGGUCAAAAGACCAAAGAGUUGCAGGCCAGGAAUGUGCUUUAGGUCCUCCUGAGCUGAGAGUUUUUAUGCCAGUUACUUCAUCAUCUUCAGGAAAAAUACCUACAUUUUUAACUAUAACUGACUGAAAAUGAACACAUAAAAGUUUGUCAUGUGGCUCAAUAACGACUAGGCAUGAGGCACAAAACAGCUUUCUAAUUAAAUUAUAAAUUUUAAAGUCUAAAGUGUAAUUUAAAUUAUAAAUUUUAAUGUUUUAUGAAUAAAAAUACAGCAAUGGAAAUGAUCUUUACUCCUAUUGGGAACAGUUAAUAGACUGCAUUUAUAAGCACAAAUUUUUUAAACCACAAGACACGGAACUUGAAGGAGAAAAUCUUUAGUUGAACCAAAGAGGCUGAAAUGGAGGAAACUCUUCCUGGAAAGAAUUAUUCUUUUCCUCCAGAUAAAACUUGGUUUACCAAAAUCAAUCAACAAAUGAGUUAUCUAUGUUGUGGAUUAUUAAACACAAAACAGACUUCUCUUUACCACCUAGUAUGCUCUGUCCAACCUCUCAUCAUUAUGAGAGUUGGUAUGUACAAAAGACAGGACUAACUUUAAUUUAAAUCCAGUCAGAAAUUAGAGGUAAACCAUCAUUACCCACAAGUGGAUUUAUCUCUACCUUCCUCACAGCAGGAAGGGAGAUUUGCCCUAAUGAGUGAAUUGGGGAGAAGGCACUAGGCAGUGCUUAGGAGAUUCCAAAUCUCUUUUUUGAAAAGAUGUGCUCACCCAUGGUAACAUGAAUUCAGGUCUGCUCUCAUCUUCGUGGGAUGGGCAUCAAACAUUUGUUUCCUCCAUUUACAACUGUGUGGGGAAGUGCCUAAUUUGGGAUAAAGAAUUGGGAAGCCCACUGUGGCUACAUACCCACCCAAACCACAUCCUCCAAUCUGUUAGCAUGUAUUAGUAACAAAGGCUACUAAGUUUAACUCCAUCUGCCUGACUCCUGUGCUCUGAACUCAGAAAAAGAAGAGCACUGUCCUCUGCCACCUACCCCACCACAGCUCCAAUGAGAGAAAUGACCAGACAAUACUUUGAAAAAUGUUUCUUCUUGCUUGACUUUAUAACUAACAUUCAUUGUUCAAAGCAACAUAUUUUGAAGAGGGAAAAGUUGGGAAAGAACAAUUUUAGAAACAAGCAGAGAAAGUCAGACAAAACGAGGAGACAGAGGAGUAUGUUCUAAAUGAAAGAACAAGGCCACGAGAUAGAACCUCAGAAAAAUAACGAAAUGAAACAGAGAUAAGGAGUCAGCCUGAUAAAGAGUUCAAAGUAAUGGUCACAGAGAUGCUCAGCAAACUUGGAAGAAUGGACGGAUUCAGUGAGAACUUCAACAAAGAGAAAAUAUACAAAAGAACCAAUUAGGGCUGAAGAAUACAAUAACUGAAAUGAAAAAUACACCAGACACAAUCGACAGCAGAUUAAAAGAUGUGAAGAACAGAUCAGCAAUCUGCAAGAAAGGGUAGUAAAAAUCAUCCAAGC
rnacentral:lncRNA from 1 species